rnacentral:misc_RNA from 1 species
UGGCUCUCGCAUCGAUGAAGAACGCAGCGAAAUGCGAUAAGUAAUGUGAAUUGCAGAAUUCAGUGAAUCAUCGAAUCUUUGAACGCAUCUUGCGCUCCUUGGUAUUCCGAGGAGCAUGCCUGUUUGAGUGUCAUUAAAUUCUCAACCUCAUCAACUUUGCUGCUGGUGAGGUUUGGAUGUGGGGGUUAUUUGCAGGCUUUCACAAGUCAGCUCCCCUGAAAUGCAUUAGCGGUACCCUUUGUGGUAAACGGCUUUUGGUGUGAUAACUAUCUACGCCAUUAGACGCCCAUGUCUGUAAUGGAGAGGGUUAUGCUGCUUCUAAUCGUCCUUUGUGGACAAAGUAAAUGACUAUUUGACCUCAAAUCAGGUAGGACUACCCGCUGA